GGGAAAAAUCAGCAAAUUAUCCAAGGCGGGCUGGACCUCUCGGGGUUACAGCCUUGCUGAAUUAUUCACCCUUGUCUUUUGCGUACUUCUUGUUUCCUUGGUGGGUUCGCCCACCACUAGGACAAACAUAAACCUUUUGUAAUUGCAAUCAGCGUCAGUAACAAAUUAAUAAUUACAACUUUCAACAACGGAUCUCUUGGUUCUGGCAUCGAUGAAGAACGCAGCGAAAUGCGAUAAGUAGUGUGAAUUGCAGAAUUCAGUGAAUCAUCGAAUCUUUGAACGCACAUUGCGCCCUUUGGUAUUCCAAAGGGCAUGCCUGUUCGAGCGUCAUUUGUACCCUCAAGCUUUGCUUGGUGUUGGGCGUCUUGUCUCUAGCUUUGCUGGAGACUCGCCUUAAAGUAAUUGGCAGCCGGCCUACUGGUUUCGGAGCGCAGCACAAGUCGCACUCUCUAUCAGCAAAGGUCUAGCAUCCAUUAAGCCUUUUUUUCAACUUUUGACCUCGGAUCAGGUAGGGAUACCCGCUGAACUUAAGCAUAUCAAUAAGCGGAGAGAA
rnacentral:rRNA from 1 species